UCAAAUAAGAGAAUAAGAGGAAGGAUGAAAAACAACCUGUCAUUACAUUAUUUCUUUAAUUUACUAAUACUAUUGCUUUUAAUGACAGGUUGUUUUUCAUCCUUCCUCUUAUUCGCUUAUUUGA